rnacentral:rRNA from 1 species
ACUUCGGUUAUAAGAUCCCUCAAAGAUGAUGAGGUAAAUAGGUUCGAGGUGGAAGCGUAGCGAUACGUGGAGCUGACGAAUACUAAUCGAUCGAAGACUUAAUCAAAUU